rnacentral:sRNA from 1 species
GGCGCCGAAGGCCGCGGCACUCCCACGCGGACCCCGAAGUCCGCAACCCGGGGAUGGGCCCGCGGCUGCGAGGACAAAGCAACAAUAAUUCAGAUACCUGUGCAGAAUUUCGAAUAAAAUAUGUUGGUGCCAUUGAGAAACUGAAACUCUCCGAGGGAAAAGGCCUUGAAGGGCCAUUAGACCUGAUAAAUUAUAUAGACGUUGCCCAGCAAGAUGGAAAGUUGCCUUUUGUUCCUCCGGAGGAAGAAUUUAUUAUGGGAGUUUCCAAGUAUGGCAUAAAAGUAUCAACAUCAGAUCAAUAUGAACAAGCACAAGCCAUUUGCAAGGUUUUAUCCACCGCUUUUGACUCUGUAUUAACAUCUGAGAAACCCUGAAUCCUGCAAUCAAGUAGAAGUCAACUUCAUCUGAAAGCUCAGCUGUUUUCAAACUGCAAUGCUGAAAUGUUAUGCAAAUAAUGAAGUGAUCCCUUGCUCUAGAUUUUCUGAAGAAAAUGGAUUGUGUAAAAUGCUGAUCAUUUGUUUAUUAAAAUGUGUCCUAUUACACAGUGAGUUAACUCUCAA